rnacentral:rRNA from 1 species
GACGAACGCUGGCGGCGUGCCUAACACAUGCAAGUCGAACGAGAUCCAGAGGAGCUUGCUCCUUGAAGAUCUAGUGGCGAACGGGUGAGUAACACGUGAAGAACCUGCCCCGGACUCUGGGAUAACUCGAGGAAACUCGAGCUAAUACCGGAUACCUUCUCGAGGUCGCAUGGCCAUGAGAAGAAAGUUUUUCGGUCUGGGAGGGCUUCGCGGCCUAUCAGCUAGUUGGUGAGGUAACGGCUCACCAAGGCUACGACGGGUAGCUGGUUUGAGAGAACGAUCAGCCACACUGGGACUGAGACACGGCCCAGACUCCUACGGGAGGCAGCAGUGGGGAAUCUUGCGCAAUGGGCGAAAGCCUGACGCAGCAACGCCGCGUGCGGGAUGAAGGCCUUCGGGUUGUAAACCGCUUUCAGCAGGGACGAAAAUGACGGUACCUGCAGAAGAAGCUCCGGCUAACUACGUGCCAGCCGCCGCCGUA